rnacentral:rRNA from 1 species
GACGUAGGGCGCGAGCGUUGUCCGGAUUUAUUGGGCGUAAAGAGCUCGUAGGCGGCUUGUUGCGUCGACUGUGAAAACCCGCGGCUUAACUGCGGGCUUGCAGUUGAUACGGGCAGGCUAGAGUUCGGUAGGGGAGACUGGAAUUCCUGGUGUAGCGGUGAAAUGCGCAGAUAUCAGGAGGAACACCGGGGGCGAAGGCGGGUCUCUGGGCCGGUACUGACGCUGAGACGCGAAAGCGUGGGGAGCGAACAGG